AUUAUCAGACUAGACCUGGAGUAGUUCCUGUCUGCUGCUAAGGUUUCCACUACAUGUGUAAGAAAAAUGUGCCCUCGCGCUUUCUGUCUGUCUGAUUGGGCAGCCAAGACUGAAUGGGAGCAUAGCAGA
rnacentral:snoRNA from 1 species